rnacentral:rRNA from 1 species
AUUGAACGCUGGCGGCAGGCUUAACACAUGCAAGUCGAACGCAUCCUUCGGGGUGAGUGGCAGACGGGUGAGUAACGCGUGGGAACGUGCCCUUCAGUUCGGGAUAACCCAGGGAAACUUGGGCUAAUACCGGAUACGUGCGAGAGCAGAAAGAUUUAUCGCUGAAGGAUCGGCCCGCGGCGGAUUAGCUAGUUGGUGGGGUAAUGGCCCACCAAGGCGACGAUCAGUAGCUGGGAUGAGAGGAUGAUCAGCCACAUUGGGACUGAGACACGGCCCAAACUCAUCAGGGAGGCAGCAGUGGGGAGUAUUGGAAGAUGGGCGCAAGCCUGAGCCAGCCAUGCCGCGUGAGUGAUGAAGGCCUUAGGGUUGUAAAGCUCUUUCGUCCGGGACGAUAAUGACGGUACCGGAAGAAGAAGCCCCGGCUAACUUCGUGCCAGCCGCCGCCGUAA